UUGUACAACCACUCUGGAAAGCAGUGUGGCGGUUUCUCAGAAAAUUUGGGAUCAACCUACCCAUGGACCCAGCAAUACCACUCUUGGGAAUAUACCCAAGAGAGGCCUUAUCAUGCAACAAAAAUAUAUGCUCUACUAUGUUCAUAGCAGCAUUAUUUGUAAUAGCCAGAACCUGGAAACAACCUAGAUGCCCCUCAAUUGAAGAAUGGAUGAAGAAAGUAUGGAAUAUAUACAUAUUAGAGUACUACUCAGCAGUAAAAAACAAGGACUUCUUGAAGUUUGCAGGCAAAUGGAUGGAAAUAGAAAACACUAUCCUGAGUGAGCCCUCUUCGGUACAGUAAGCACUGCCCAAGCAGACAUGGACAGACUCGGGAGAAAAGAAGAGGAAAGCAGAUCUGUUGAAGAUAUAUCUGAAUUGAGAACCGGCACUAAUCCAGGAUAGGAGUGCACAAAUGUUUGUUACCCGAACCAACAGAGUGGAGUCUUCUAGAUAGUUUCGUCUUCUCAUACAUG